UGUCACUUCUGAAAGAGAUCGCUUGUAAAUAAUAGAAAAAAACGACUUGUUUUUCUUGAAACUCGAAUCUUGUACUGUUUCAUUUGUUUUUAUUUAAUUUUUUGUCGUGUGAAAUGGCGGUGAGAAUGUACAAUACAAAACGGAAAAUGCGAAUGAUAUCCUCAUACAGUACAAGUGUUCCAAAGAUGUAGUCCUCUUCAUUCAAUCGAUAUUUAUGUUGGCCACCAAUAAUCAUUUGCGUAUCGUCUAUUUCAAAUGAAUUCCAAUCAGUUAAAUAUUUUUUUUCCUUUUAUUUUUAUUUCAACAGAAUUUGCUAUCCAACAAAAAAUAACUUACGAAUCAAUAUAGCGGCGAUCACCGGCAAGGAAAAGCAUUAUAAAAUCAGUCCAAAAAUAUAAUUACGCGUAAAUAUGAAAAUAAUUGCGCCAACAAUAAUCAUCAAAAUUGCAAUCCAAAUUACACCGUAGAAUUUUGUGAAAUCGUAUUUUGUUUGUGCGGCAAAUAUCGUCAGUCCAAUGACCAUCACAGCAGUCAUACCCAUCGCAAUAACAAUCUAAAAACAAAUUUUUCAAAUUAUUUUUAGAAUUUAUGUUAAACACUUGGUGAGACAUAACAUAACCAAUUCUAAAAACAUAACCAAUUCUGGAUCAUAUCUUGUUGAUAUGAAACCCAAGCAUAUGCCUUGGCCGAUUGUGAUCAAUCCCAAUAGUAUCAAAUUGAGCGGAUAUUUUCGACCAACAAAUUCACAACAAAUUAUUGCUGUCAUCAAUACAAAUAGAAUGAUGCAUCCGACCAGGAGAAUCCACGGAUUUCGAAAAAGAAAUCGUUGUAUGCCAUCAUGGAAGCUCAUCAAUAAUACCAUACCAAAUGUAAUUAUCAAUUGAAUCUGAAAUCAAAUCAAAUUGUUUGUCAUUUUAUGUGUCGUUUGUCAUUGACGUCAUUUACGGAUAAUAGACUGUAAACUUUGCGAAUAAAAUUCCGUCGAAUGGUCUUGUCAUUGAAUGAAAAUCCUUUUGGUUGCUGUGAACUUUCAAUGGCCACUUCAAAAUGCUGUGGUGGUGGCGGAAUUGUUCCGUAUAAUUCAUAAUAUGGUUGGUAAAUUUGCGGUGGCACAAAGUUUUGUGGAAGAAAUUAUUCCUGUUGUGAUGGCGGACAGUUGACCACCAGGUGAGGUUGGAUGCCUUGUUGAGUUGGAUAAUUUUGUGAGGGCUGUGUAGGAUAUCCCGGAUAUUCCUCCUGCGAUGGUGGAUAUGCAUUUUGAGCUAAAUCAAAGUUCAAAAGAAAUUUUAAUGGCCGACUCAUAAGUUAUGUUGCUUAAUAAAAUAGAUAAAAUAUCGCUUUUUCAACGAA